UACAGAGGUGGCAAGCGUUGUUCGGAAUUACUGGGCGUAAAGGGCGCGUAGGCGGCCUUCUAAGUCAGACGUGAAAUCCCCCGGCUUAACCUGGGAACUGCGUCUGAUACUGGAGGGCUUGAGUGCGGGAGAGGGAUGUGGAAUUCCAGGUGUAGCGGUGAAAUGCGUAGAUAUCUGGAGGAACACCGGUGGCGAAGGCGGCAUCCUGGACCGACACUGACGCUGAGGCGCGAAAGCUAGGGGAGCGAUCCGG
rnacentral:rRNA from 1 species